GAUGAAGAACGUAGCGAAAUGCGAUAAGUAAUGUGAAUUGCAGAAUUCAGUGAAUCAUCGAAUCUUUGAACGCACAUUGCGCCCGCCAGUAUUCUGGUGGGCAUGCCUGUUCGAGCGUCAUUUCAACCAUCAAGCCCUGCUUGCGUUGGGGUCCUGCGGCUGCCCGCAGGCCCUGAAAACCAGUGGCGGGCUCGCUAGUCACACCGAGCGCAGUAAUACAUCUCGCUUUGGGCGUGCGGCGGGUUCUUGCCGUUAAACACCCCCUUUUUACCAAGGUUGACCUCGGAUCAGGUAGGAAUACCCGCUGAACUUAAGCAUAUCAAUAAGCGGAGGA
rnacentral:misc_RNA from 1 species